rnacentral:rRNA from 1 species
AAUACGUUCCCGGGCCUUGUACACACCGCCCGUCACACCACCCGAGUUGGGAUUACCCGAAGUCAUUGGUCUAACCGUAAUAGGAGGACGGUGACGAAGGUAGGCCUGGUAAGGGGGGUG